GCGGGACCAGCUGAUGCAGUGGCCAUAUGGUGGCCAUCUCAACUUCAGGCUCUCUGGUGAAGCUACCGUUGCCAAAUCUCGCGAUAGCCGCCUCCCUGAUCACUACGUAAUGUGCCGUGCUGCUUCUAGCGGCGCUGGUGACAGUGCUGAAAGCUGUUGGGUAUGAAGUGAAACAGAACAGAAUUUUUGUACCAUCCGCAACUGCUUCAAGUUCAGAUCACAACAAAGAAACUGAAGAUAAACCUCCCAAAACAAAGUUGCAACACUGAAGACACGUGGCGAAAAAAGGAUCACUUCAAGGAUUUAAAACACAAGAAGGAACCAAAUCCUGAAACGACCAAAGAAUACGCACAUCAGCCCUACAGAAACAUAGAAAAGAAGCAAUCCUAUGCCCAAGUAUAUUCUAAAAAAAUACAAUAACUGAUCUGAAACCAGAAGUUUGUGCCUACUCAACAGCUUUGACAAAGCACACGUCCCAACGCUGCUCCUUGCCCUCCUCAUCCUCACUACACCGCCGACUCACCACCGGGGUGUGGAGUGGGCUGCUAUCUGCUAGUUUUUUCCCCCAUAGUUCCCCCAUUUUCCCCCCCUCUUCUCUUCCCUCUGUUUUCAUUGUAUUUUUUUCUGAGCAGUGUUAUUGCACCUGCGUUUGCCUUUUUUGCGCUCGAUUUCUCCCCCUUUUUUACUUUAUACAAACAUCUAGAACUUGUGCCAGAAACCUGUAACAAGUGUGUGUGUUCAACUGUGUGCGUGAAGAGGUCUGCAACAAUUGCAAAGCCAUCGAGAUCCUGAGAAUUACAAGAUACAAGACGACAAAUAAAGACAUCCAGCGGUGUAUCAUUGGGUGGUUAUAUAAGAAUAGUACUUAACAGUCAAGCAAAAACAUUCAGACAAGUAAUCAAGUUCAGCAAGUGCUCAAGCAAGUUUGGUCCGAGUUUAUGGGAAAAUAUGGGCAGCCCCUGGAAAGGCUUUGUUGAAUUUACCUUGCCUGCGUCGCCACCCACCGCGUUUGUUAGCGCUGACCUGAGCAGCACCUCCCCUGUCGGACUCAGCCUGUCGCCAUAUGGCCGAUCCCACAUCCAAGUCUUAUCCCCAGUGUCAGAAAUGGAAAGAGGCUCCUCUGAACCUCCAGCGGCUCGCAACACUGACCCUGCCGCUUCUACCUCCACUGGUCCCAUGCAUAUCCCUCGUUCCUGCUCUGUCUCUUGCCAUCCCCACCCAGGAAAUAAAAAACACAAGCGGACUCCCUUGUAUCAGAGAUCAAUGAGUUUUGACCCAGGAAUGCUCCAUAACAAUGGGCACACUGCGUACGCCAACGGCACAGGGCCUGGCAUUAGAGAGACUGGUUUGUGGAGAAGCUCUUGACUUCCUAUGGGUUCAUCCAGUGCUCCGAACGUCAGGCUCGCCUCUUCUUCCACUGCUCCCAGUACAAUGGCAACUUGCAGGAGCUUAAAAUAGGAGAUGAUGUAGAGUUUGAGGUAUCCUCUGACAGGCGCACUGGCAAGCCCAUAGCAGUGAAGCUGCUAAAGAUAAAGCCAGAGGUGCUGCCAGAGGAACGGAUCUCGGGCCAGGUGGGGCCAGACCUGCACGCCUAUCCCUUUACUGUGCUGCAUGGUUAUAUUCAUCCAGUUGUCUCAUCUAUCCCAUUGCAUUUGGAUGGAAAGUCUGCACCUGGUCAGGUUCCCACUGGCAGUGUUUGUUAUGAGAGAAAUGGGGUAAGAGAAGUGGAAUGGAUUGCAUCAUGCUUGGUCAACAAAAUGCAGAAUGUUAAUGUAAUUAGA